rnacentral:rRNA from 1 species
AGAGUUUGAUCAUGGCUCAGAUUGAACGCUGGCGGCAGGCCUAACACAUGCAAGUCGAGCGGUAGCACAGAGAGCUUGCUCUCGGGUGACGAGCGGCGGACGGGUGAGUAAUGUCUGGGAAACUGCCUGAUGGAGGGGGAUAACUACUGGAAACGGUAGCUAAUACCGCAUAAUGUCGCAAGACCAAAGUGGGGGACCUUCGGGCCUCAUGCCAUCAGAUGUGCCCAGAUGGGAUUAGCUAGUAGGUGGGGUAACGGCUCACCUAGGCGACGAUCCCUAGCUGGUCUGAGAGGAUGACCAGCCACACUGGAACUGAGACACGGUCCAGACUCCUACGGGAGGCAGCAGUGGGGAAUAUUGCACAAUGGGCGCAAGCCUGAUGCAGCCAUGCCGCGUGUGUGAAGAAGGCCUUCGGGUUGUAAAGCACUUUCAGCGGGGAGGAAGGCGGUAAGGUUAAUAACCUUAUCGAUUGACGUUACCCGCAGAAGAAGCACCGGCUAACUCCGUGCCAGCAGCCGCGGUAAUACGGAGGGUGCAAGCGUUAAUCGGAAUUACUGGGCGUAAAGCGCACGCAGGCGGUCUGUCAAGUCGGAUGUGAAAUCCCCGGGCUCAACCUGGGAACUGCAUUCGAAACUGGCAGGCUAGAGUCUUGUAGAGGGGGGUAGAAUUCCAGGUGUAGCGGUGAAAUGCGUAGAGAUCUGGAGGAAUACCGGUGGCGAAGGCGGCCCCCUGGACAAAGACUGACGCUCAGGUGCGAAAGCGUGGGGAGCAAACAGGAUUAGAUACCCUGGUAGUCCACGCCGUAAACGAUGUCGAUUUGGAGGUUGUGCCCUUGAGGCGUGGCUUCCGGAGCUAACGCGUUAAAUCGACCGCCUGGGGAGUACGGCCGCAAGGUUAAAACUCAAAUGAAUUGACGGGGGCCCGCACAAGCGGUGGAGCAUGUGGUUUAAUUCGAUGCAACGCGAAGAACCUUACCUGGUCUUGACAUCCACAGAACUUAGCAGAGAUGCUUUGGUGCCUUCGGGAACUGUGAGACAGGUGCUGCAUGGCUGUCGUCAGCUCGUGUUGUGAAAUGUUGGGUUAAGUCCCGCAACGAGCGCAACCCUUAUCCUUUGUUGCCAGCGGUUCGGCCGGGAACUCAAAGGAGACUGCCAGUGAUAAACUGGAGGAAGGUGGGGAUGACGUCAAGUCAUCAUGGCCCUUACGACCAGGGCUACACACGUGCUACAAUGGCAUAUACAAAGAGAAGCGACCUCGCGAGAGCAAGCGGACCUCAUAAAGUAUGUCGUAGUCCGGAUUGGAGUCUGCAACUCGACUCCAUGAAGUCGGAAUCGCUAGUAAUCGUAGAUCAGAAUGCUACGGUGAAUACGUUCCCGGGCCUUGUACACACCGCCCGUCACACCAUGGGAGUGGGUUGCAAAAGAAGUAGGUAGCUUAACCUUCGGGAGGGCGCUUACCACUUUGUGAUUCAUGACUGGGGUGAAGUCGUAACAAGGUAACCGUAGGGGAACCUGCGGUUGGAUCACCU